AGUGAACGCUGGCGGUAGGCCUAACACAUGCAAGUCGAACGGCAGCACAGUAAGAGCUUGCUCUUACGGGUGGCGAGUGGCGGACGGGUGAGGAAUACAUCGGAAUCUACUUUUUCGUGGGGGAUAACGUAGGGAAACUUACGCUAAUACCGCAUACGACCUACGGGUGAAAGCAGGGGAUCUUCGGACCUUGCGCGAUUGAAUGAGCCGAUGUCGGAUUAGCUAGUUGGCGGGGUAAAGGCCCACCAAGGCGACGAUCCGUAGCUGGUGUGAGAGGAGGAACAGCGACACUGGAGCUGAGACACGGUACAGACUCUGACGGGAGGCAGAAGUUGGGAAUAUUGGACAAUGGGCGGAAGCCUGAUCCAGCCACACCGCGUGGGUGAAGAAGGCCUUCGUGUUGUAAAGCCCUUUUGUUGGGAAAGAAAAGCAGCAGGUGAAUACACGGCUGUUCUGACGGUACCCAAAUAAUAAGCACCGGCUAACUUCGUG
rnacentral:rRNA from 1 species